UACGUAGGGUGCAAGCGUUGUCCGGAAUUAUUGGGCGUAAAGAGCUCGUAGGCGGUUUGUUGCGUCGGCUGUGAAAACCUGAGGCUCAACCUCAGGCCUGCAGUCGAUACGAGCAGACUAGAGGUGUUGCAGGGGAGACUGGAAUUCCUGGUGUAGCGGUGAAAUGCGCAGAUAUCGGGAAGAACACCCGUGGCGAAGGCGGUUCUCUGGGACGGUACUGACGCUGAGACGCGAAAGCGUGGGGAGCGAACAGG
rnacentral:rRNA from 1 species